rnacentral:lncRNA from 1 species
UUACGUAAUAAGGAAAAAGUUAGUCCAAGGUAUGAAGAGUAACAUAUCAAAAGUCCAACCCUGUACAGUGGUCCUUAAUAUUUAAAUUUUUAAUUUUUGGAAAGGGGUUUCAUGACAAUUUUUAAUUUUUUUUUUGGGGUAACUUUGCCUCCAUUUCCUGGGACACCCUGUACAUUUACGAAAAAUUAUGUAGUAAGGAAAAAGUUAGUCCAAGGUAUGAAGAGUAACAUAUCAAAAGUCCAACCCUGUACAGUGGUCCUAAAUAUUUAAAUUUUUUAUUUUUGAAAAGGGGUUUCAUGACAAUUUUUAAUUUUUUAUUGGGGUAACUUUGCCUCCAUUUCCUGGGACACCCUGUACAUUUACGAAAAAUUAUGUAGUAAGGAAAAAGUUAGUCCAAGGUAUGAAGAGUAACAUAUCAAAAGUCCAACCCUGUACAGUGGUCCUAAAUAUUUAAAUUUUUUAUUUUUGAAAAGGGGUUUCAUGACAAUUUUUAAUUUUUUAUUGGGGUAACUUUGCCUCCAUUUCCUGGGACACCCUGUACAUUUACGAAAAAUUAUGUAGUAAGGAAAAAGUUAGUCCAAGGUAUGAAGAGUAACAUAUCAAAAGUCCAACCCUGUACAGUGGUCCUAAAUAUUUAAAUUUUUUAUUUUUGAAAAGGGGUUUCAUGACAAUUUUUAAUUUUUUAUUGGGGUAACUUUGCCUCCAUUUCCUGGGACACCCUGUACAUUUACGAAAAAUUAUGUAGUAAGGAAAAAGUUAGUCCAAGGUAUGAAGAGUAACAUAUCAAAAGUCCAACCCUGUACAGUGGUCCUAAAUAUUUAAAUUUUUUAUUUUUGAAAAGGGGUUUCAUGACAAUUUUUAAUUUUUUAUUGGGGUAACUUUGCCUCCAUUUCCUGGGACACCCUGUACAUUUACGAAAAAUUAUGUAGUAAGGAAAAAGUUAGUCCAAGGUAUGAAGAGUAACAUAUCAAAAGUCCAACCCUGUACAGUGGUCCUAAAUAUUUAAAUUUUUUAUUUUUGAAAAGGGGUUUCAUGACAAUUUUUAAUUUUUUAUUGGGGUAACUUUGCCUCCAUUUCCUGGGACACCCUGUACAUUUACGAAAAAUUAUGUAGUAAGGAAAAAGUUAGUCCAAGGUAUGAAGAGUAACAUAUCAAAAGUCCAACCCUGUACAGUGGUCCUAAAUAUUUAAAUUUUUUAUUUUUGAAAAGGGGUUUCAUGACAAUUUUUAAUUUUUUAUUGGGGUAACUUUGCCUCCAUUUCCUGGGACACCCUGUACAUUUACGAAAAAUUAUGUAGUAAGGAAAAAGUUAGUCCAAGGUAUGAAGAGUAACAUAUCAAAAGUCCAACCCUGUACAGUGGUCCUAAAUAUUUAAAUUUUUUAUUUUUGAAAAGGGGUUUCAUGACAAUUUUUAAUUUUUUAUUGGGGUAACUUUGCCUCCAUUUCCUGGGACACCCUGUACAUUUACGAAAAAUUAUGUAGUAAGGAAAAAGUUAGUCCAAGGUAUGAAGAGUAACAUAUCAAAAGUCCAACCCUGUACAGUGGUCCUAAAUAUUUAAAUUUUUUAUUUUUGAAAAGGGGUUUCAUGACAAUUUUUAAUUUUUUAUUGGGGUAACUUUGCCUCCAUUUC